UUAGAUACCGCCCCUAGUUCUGACCGGUAACGGAUGCCAUCUCGCGGAUUCGGAGGGGUUCCAUGCCCUACCGAGGAGCUACCCGGAAACGAAAGUCUUUCGGUUCCGGGGGGUAGUAUGGUUGCAAAGCUGAAACUUAAAGAAAUUGACGGAAAGGGCACCACAAAGGCGUGGAGCUUGCGGCUUAAUUUGACUCAACACGGGAAAACUCACCCGGUCCGGACACUAUUAGGACUGACAGAUUGAAAGCUCUUUCUCGAUUUGGUGGUUGGUGGUGCAUGGCCGUUCUUAGUUGGUGGAGUGAUUUGUCUGGUUUAUUCCGAUAACGAGCGAGACUCUAGCCUGCUAAAUAGUCGACGAAUCUUCGGGUUCGUAUAACUUCUUAGAGGGAUAAGCGGUGUUUAGCCGCACGAGAUUGAGCGAUAACAGGUCUGUGAUGCCCUUAGAUGUCCGGGGCUGCACGCGUGCUACACUGGUGGAGUCAGCGGGUUUUUCCUAUGCCGAAAGGUAUCGGUAAACCGUUGAACUUCUUCCAUGUCCGGGAUAGGGUAUUGUAAUUAUUACCCUUAAACGAGGAAUGCCUAGUAAGUGUGAGUCAUCAGGCUUAGGCUUAGGCUUAGGCUUAGGCUUAGGCUUAGGC
rnacentral:ncRNA from 1 species